rnacentral:rRNA from 1 species
CGGACGGGUGAGUAACGCGUGGGUAACCUGCCUUGUACUGGGGGACAACAGUUGGAAACGACUGCUAAUACCGCAUAAGCGCACAGCUUCGCAUGAAGCAGUGUGAAAAACUCCGGUGGUACAAGAUGGACCCGCGUCUGAUUAGCUGGUUGGUGAGGUAACGGCCCACCAAGGCAACGAUCAGUAGCCGGCCUGAGAGGGUGAACGGCCACAUUGGGACUGAGACACGGCCCAG